rnacentral:rRNA from 1 species
AUUGAACGCUGGCGGCAGGCCUAACACAUGCAAGUCGAGCGAAUGAGGGAAGCUUGCUUUUCGAUUCAGCGGCGGACGGGUGAGUAAUGCCUAGGAAUCUGCCUGUUAGUGGGGGAUAACUCGGGGAAACUCGGGCUAAUACCGCAUACGUCCUACGGGAGAAAGUGGGGGAUCUUCGGACCUCACGCUAACAGAUGAGCCUAGGUCGGAUUAGCUAGUAGGUGAGGUAAUGGCUCACCUAGGCGACGAUCCGUAACUGGUCUGAGAGGAUGAUCAGUCACACUGGAACUGAGACACGGUCCAGACUCCUACGGGAGGCAGCAGUGGGGAAUAUUGGACAAUGGGCGAAAGCCUGAUCCAGCCAUGCCGCGUGUGUGAAGAAGGUCUUCGGAUCGUAAAGCACUUUAAGUUGGGAGGAAGGGUAUUCACCUAAUACGUGGGUACUUUGACGUUACCAACAGAAUAAGCACCGGCUAACUCUGUGCCAGCAGCCGCCGUAACAC